rnacentral:tRNA from 1 species
GGAGAGGAGGUCGUCCGUGCUGGACGAAAUAAGUGCCGAAAAGCGUUUGACGCUCGGUAGUUGUCUCGAAAACAGAAGUACCCGCAAGGGUACCGGGGGUUCGAAUCCCUCCCUCUCCGCCA